AUUAGCGCAUCGAAUAUGUUUUACCUUUUUAGCAACAAACGCAUAUCAGUUGCUAUUUCUGAAUGGCCACUUUUUAUUUCUCUUCUUCACCUUCUUAGCCAAACCCCAAUCCUAAUCCUACCUUUUCCUCUACCAAUCCCAAAUCUUUAAUUUCGAUUCCACAAUGCUUCCCCAAUCUCAAACUCAAACCCCUUCUCCGGAAUCUCCCAUAUCGCUCCUCCGAGUCUCAUUCAAUCCAUACCAUUCCUGCUUCGCAGCCGCAAUCGACGCCAUCUUUCGCAUCUACAACUGCGACCCCUUCCGGGAGCUCUUCCGUCGCAACUUCUCCGGCGGAGAAACCGGCCACGUCGAGAUGCUCUUCCACAGCAACAUAAUGUGGCUCGUCGAUGGCGAACUUCAAGCUAGUGCAAACAACGGGGUUGAGAUAUGGGGAAGUACACGCUUCUAACAGUUAUUGCAGGCGUUGCCCAUGUUCACUUUCGCAAACCAGGCAGGGCUUGACAUGCUGGAGACUACCUUAGUUGCUCUACAAGACAUAAAGUUAGAGAAAAUAUUUGACGAUCAUGGAAGACUUGGAUUUCUUGUUUCAUAUGUUUUUUCUUGCUCGGUACUGCAAGCUUCUAGAGGAGAACUCGUUCUGGGGGAGGACUGCCGAUUUCUUUUACAUGCUCUUAUUUGGUGCCACUGUAUUGACUGGAAUUUUCUUCUUGGGGGAUGAUAUAUGAUGGUUUACGUGUGGAGCAAACGAAAUCCCUUUAUUCAUAUGAGCUUCCUUGGCCUCUUUACUUUCACUGCUGCCUACCUUCCAUGGGUGCGUAAGAUCUAUGGUUGUUAUCUGUCUGAUUGGAAAAUAAUAUUAACCCGUUUGAGGCAUUAAAUACUUGUGUAUAAGACAGUUGCUUGAAUAUCUACUAGUUAUUUGGGCACAUGUUAUCUUGUGUUCAACCUUUUUUUGCCCUGGAGCAGCUUUCAGGGAAGUUCAACCUUGAGGGAAAUAUUGAAUUGCAGGUAUAUGGCUGGCCCAAAAUAUUGUAUACGUGAAUGAUAAAUGAGAUUGUAGUAAUCUCUUAGCUAAUGGAUGCAAGUAUUCAAUGGAGCAGGUUGAUGUUAGUUCUUCCGCACCAGGUGCUGCAUUACAAGUAGAUAUUCAGGCUUCAAAUUGUAGUGGUUCUUUGCUUUUUACAUUAGGGAGUUGUACUUGAUACCCAAGAAUAUGUUGUAAUUUGAAGGAGAUUUAGUUUCCCCCUUAUACUUUUUUAAUGUUUCCAGGAAGUGGGUACUCCCUUCUCGUUGCUCAGAUGGAACCAAAAAUUAUAAGAACAGAGCUCUUAGAACUCUUAUUUAUGAAAUCUGGCUCAGGAUCCUUCCUUAAAAUCGAAAUUGAUGAUCCUGCUGCACAAGCCAUUGAGUUCCUUAUACUUUAUGAAGCUCAGAAUAAGUGGUUAUGGGUGAAGGAGAGGAACAUAGAGUCGUUAAAAUUGCUGACUUUGGACUUGCAAGGAUAUAUCACGCUCCUUUGAAGCCAUUAUCUGAAAAUGGGUAGAUAUGGAACCACCCUGGGAUCUUACAAUUGACAAAAGAAGACAAGGACUAUGUAAGACAUGAAGAUGUUGUUGAGAAUUUUCUUGCGGAUGAUAGCUCCAGUGAUGAAAAUUCUGGUUUUAUUGUGCUUGCUAGGGGUAGUCUUCAUGUAUAUGGAUCCAUAGGCGCCUACACUUGUAUGCUUCCAAUAUUACUGAUUACUUAUUAAUUGAUUGAAAGCUUCCUCUCUAUGCUGUGAGUGGUUUUUGGAUGUAUGUUUGU